rnacentral:rRNA from 1 species
AUUGAACGCUGGCGGCAUGCCUUACACAUGCAAGUCGAACGGCAGCGCGGGAGCAAUCCUGGCGGCGAGUUGCGAACGGGUGAGUAAUACAUCGGAACGUGCCCAAUCGUGGGGGAUAACGCAACGAAAGCUGUGCUAAUACCGCAUACGAUCUACGGUUGAAAGCCGGGGAUCGCAAGACCUUGCGCGAAUGGAGCGGCCGAUGGCAGAUUAGGUAGUUGGUGAGGUAAAGGCUCACCAAGCCUUCGAUCUGUAGCUGGUCUGAGAGGACGACCAGCCACACUGGAACUGAGACACGGCCCAGACUCCUACGGGAGGCAGCAGUGGGGAAUUUUGGACAAUGGGCGAAAGCCUGAUCCAGCCAUGCCGCGUGAAGGAUGAAGGCCUUCGGGUUGUAAACUGCUUUUGUACGGAACGAAACGGUCUUUUCUAAUAAAGAAGGCUAAUGACGGUACCGUAAGAAUAAGCACCGGCUAACUACGUG